GGAGGCGCCCGGCUGCUCCCUUUUCCUCAGAGAAAGGGAGGGAAAGGAGGAAGGGGGGCGGGGGAGGGGAGGGAGAGAACUGAGAGGCUGGGCCGUGCGGUUCGCGGGCAAGGAGAGACGUUGAUGCCGAGGGGGUGUCCACCGCGGCUCUCAACUGACCACGGGGUGCCGUGCUGGUGACGGGCCCCCCGGCUGCAGGUGUGAGGAGGUGUGAUUAGCCGGCUUGAUUUACAGGGAGAGCGGGCACGGGAGGUGGGCUGACCUGGCCUCUGACAAGGCAUCUCAUUGACCAGGUAGCGGGGCCUCCAACUGCCAGACAGUGGGCGACCCGACAGGUUGAGGAGGCCGCGAGGGGCUCGGAAGGGUUACCUGAACUUGGUGUCUUACUGACUGGGGCAGAGCCAGUGGAUUAGAAGGUGACCUGACUUCUGGCUGAGGCAGGGGAGAAACCCCACGUCUUCGUAGGUGCAGGUAGAUGCGUAGGAUAAAUUCCAGAAGUGGAAUUAUUGGAUCAAAUCUAUGUGCGGUUUUUUGUUGUUGUUCUUUGGCAAAUGCUGCCAAAUUACCCUAAGUUGUACCAAUUUGCAGUUUCGCCAACAACAUGCGUCUCAGGAAUUUAAACUGUCAUAUGUAAGAUUCAUUGAGUUGCUAGUUGACUGAAACGCCGAAAAGGCACACACAAGUAGAGCUGUGAGGUCCCAGAGUACAUGUAUACUCCGAUGCUGUGACCAAGCAGAAGCUAUAAGGAUAAAACUGUAUCCCCAACAGAGGGAAAUGUUGGGAAUGGAUUGAAGGAUGCCCUGAUGGACGCUAUCCAUGUUUGGGUGACUUUGGAAGAAUGUUCUUUGCAAGACUGUCCUUGAAGAAGUGGCAGUUGUCACUCUGCUUUCUUGAGUAACAGCUCUCCCAUUGUCGAUCCUACCUAAAACUUGGUAAACACAGAGUCCCUGACUGCAUCAUCUGAGAAUUUCUGAAGAAUACCUUGCCAACCAGAUGGGAUGAAUAUCGGCCCUGGAGUUACUUUCCUUAACUGGAGAGUCCAUCAUGGCAGGAGGGAUGGCGGCAGGCAGCCAGAGGGGGCAACUGAGCCAUCUCAUCUUCAAUGACUCACACACAGCAGAGAGUGGGCUGAAUACCGGGCAAGUCUAUAACCUCAAAGACCAUCCCUAGUAAUGUACUUCCUCCAGCAAGGCUGAAUCUUCUAAAGGUUCCGUAACCUCCCCAAACAGCACCACCAACUGGGGACCAAGGCUAUGGGGGACAUUUCCAUUGAACUCGCCACAGACUUUUUAAAAGGAUAAUAUGUUGAAAAUUGUUUAGUUAGUAAUUAAGACUUACUUUUGGUUUUUAUGUUUGAAAUUAUUGCCAAAUGGACCCAUAGUGCUCAAUUUUUGUAUUUUUGGUGACAUCGUGUCUUCAAUCCAGAACCUCACACAUGCUAGGGAAAUGCUCUACAAUUGAACUACACUCCCAACCUCAAGUUGUGAUUUAAAGGCAUCUAACAUCUUCAUCUUUUGUAAGUUAGGAAAAGAGAACUGAGUGUGAAAAAGUCACCCAAAUAACAAUGUCAUAGUAACACAGUCACUUGUGUAUGCUUGGUCACCCCUCCAUCAGCAGCUGCCAUGGCGCCUCUGAGAACAAACGGUGAAUGCAGGCUCCUCUUACUCUGCUGUUAAUGUCACUGGAGGGAUAGUGGGCAGGGAGCGGGGCAGAUGGAGCAAAGAGUCUGAACACCAGAGGAUGCCCUGGGCACAGCAACUAGAACAUGGCCUCAACUUCACACAGAAUGCGGAUUAAAACCAACUUGAAAGUUUUUCUCCUGGAAUGAGCUGUCACUGUGAAGUUCAUGUUGGAGGUGAUGCGACCUGGGAUUCUGUUUGGAACAGUUCUUUCUUGAGUGUUUAUGAUGUACUGCAUCUCCAGCCUGGCAGCUGCAGGGCUUUUGCUCAGCACUUAAACAUUCUCACUGUCUUUGGGUAGCUAGAAAGUGUCUGAGGUCUCCCUGCUGGGCUAGUAUAGAGAAAGCAUGAUGAAGCAGUCUGUGGUAUCCAUUCUGCAGGAAGGUUAGGAUUGUGUCCAGGAUCCAGGAUCAGUUCAUUGCUUUGAAGUCCAUGUUCCUUCCACUGUGUUAUGACCCUGCCUUGGACCACAAAUCCAGUUUCAAGUAGACGAGACCUAACAGUUGCAUAGACUUAAAAGCUCAGGAAGUGUGUGGGUUUUACUGUUGACUUUGGGAUUUAUGUGGUUCUCUGUGGGGAAGGUACCAUUGUGCUCACUGUAUCCAGAGAAAAGUGAAGUUUGGCUUGGUGAGCUGGAGGCAAAGGAUAGGUGGAGGCAGGAGAGUGCAUUCAGCCUCCAUACCUAUCCUGUGCCAGCCUGAGCAUGGCACUAAGGAUUUAGAUGUGGAGAUCAACUGUCUCUAUCCCAGGAGCAUCUGGUUUGGUGCAGAGAUGGUUACAAUCCAGUGUGGUAGUGGUUGUGAUGGCUAGUCUUGGUUGUCAAUUUGACCACAUCUGGUAUCCACUAAAACCCGAGCAGCUGGGCACACCUGUUAGGGGUUUUCUUGAUUGAAUUAUUUGAGCUGGGAAGACCCACACUAGGAAGGGCCACACAUUCUGGUUGCAGCCACACAGAAAGGACAUGGAGGAUGGAAGCUUUCGCUUUUGCUGCUUGUUCUUAAUCUCAAUGUCAAGUUCAUCUGCCCUGUUGCUGAAGCAUCCCUUCAUUGGUAUCAGAACAGACCGAAGACAGCAGUUCUUUAGGAAUGCCUCAUGACUCCAGCACCAGAUUGGGACUGCAGAAACACCCAGGUCUCGUGGACUGAACAACUCUCAGAUUCUUGGUCUUUGCAUCAGGAGACAGUCAUUGUUGGACAAGUUGGACCACAGCCUGUUAACCAGUUCAAUAAAUCUCCUUUUAAUAUAGAGAUAUUCAUUCUAUCAGUUCUGUUCUUUUAGAGAACUUUGACUAAUACAGUGGAUUCAUAAAAGAACACAUCAGGAACUGGGGUGAUAUUUCAUUGUUGGGCAAGCCUGAUGAUCUUCAAUCCCAGAACCUGUGAAAAAGCAAGAUGGGGUGGUAAAGUAUCUGCGGCAAGAGAGGAGGCAGAGGCAGGAGAAUUGGCCAGAAGCUCCCUGACCAGUGUACAGAACAGCAGUAAAACCGACAGGAGAGACUGUGCCUCAAAACAAGGUGGAAGAUAGUUGGGCAUAGUGGCUCAUGCUCUUAAUCCCAGCACUCGGGAGGCAGAGGCAGGUGGAUCUCUGUGAGUUCUAGGACAGCCAGAGCUACAUAGUGAGACCCUGUCUCAGGAAACCAAAACCAAACCAAAACAAAAACAGCAAACAAAAAACAAGGUAGAAGGAGAUAACAAAUUCUGGAAACCCCCUUGACCUUCAUAUGUGUGUUAUGGUAUAUGGAUGCCCUUUAGUACAUAAACACACAUAGAAGCAAAUCUUUAAAAGAUGAACCCAGGUUAGAUUUCUUGUGCACAGGACACUGAACUGGCCUCUCAGUGCACUGCCCUCAGAUCUUCUCAGGCUGUGCUCUUUGGCAGUUAGAUUCUCAUUCAGCAACUUGGCCUUUGGGCUUCUCAAGUCUCAGCUUUCUGUCACCCAGUGCUCCAGAGUGAGCUCUAAGAGCGAGCCAUCUGAAUGAGGGGUUUUACUCACUGUCAACAUUGGGAUUCAUACGGUUCUAUGUGGGGAAGGUGUCACGGUGUAACCAGACCACAGUACUCGUCACCAUCUGGAGCUGCUCGUCUGUGGGCUUGUUUUGUGAUUGUCUCUCCAACUAACCUGCCACAUGUCCUGGGACCUUGUCUAACACAAUCAUUGCUCUACCUCCAUGUCUAUCAUGGAUCCAGUACUACCAGGCUACCUUGGUGCCCAAACAUCAUGGAAACUCAUGGAAAGAGUUUCCACCUAAAACCUGAGAGAACGUAAAAAUAGAUUCUAAAAUGGAGCUAAGAGCAGCUUCCUAGUUCGUAUGUCUCAUGUAGGCCUUGGUACAGAGACGCCUAGGUACAGAAACACUGUGGCAUUUAAGCUUGAGCACAGCAUGGUGGAUACCUGCCACUGUACACAGAGACGUCUCCAAGCUGCACAGCAUGCUGCAUGGUGGAUUUAGCUUUUGCUAGUACAGAGCAAAAACAAAAAGUUUUCUGGGCUACAUGCUGCUUGAUGGAGGCAUAGAUCCACUGCUUCCCAGAGCUGGCGGUAAGCAUACCUCCACCAUGUUGGGAAACUGAAUGGGGCAGAGUCAACAGCCAAAGCUGCCUCACAGCUUAGCAGUUUAAAAUCUCUCCUGGUCAGAAAAGGAUUACAGAUACACAGUGAGACAGAUUCAGAUGGAAUAAAUCUCUAAACAGUUUACAGUGUGUGUAAAAAUGUACCUAGGCUUGGAAGAGAGAGGAAAACGAGUAUAGUUCUAUAAAGAAAUAGUUUUAAAAAAUAAAGUUUUUAAAGAGACAAUAAAAAUGGUAUAAAAGAAAUAGCCACACAAAGAUGGAAAAUACAUAGCCUGGAUUAUGUAUAUUGUGUUUUAUUUUUGACUGUUAAUGAGCUAAUUGCAGGAAGACAUUUGAUUGUAAAGGCUUCUAAGUUAAAUAUAUAUAUAUAUAUAUAUAUAUAUAUAUAUAUAUAUAUAUAUAUAUAUAUAUAUAAUUUAAAGGUAUCUUGACUUCAAAUUUGGAUAUAAGAAUAUGUUGCUUUGGAAAGGAGGCUCUGCUUUCAUUUCCAAAGGAAGCAAGAGGCUAUAGAUUUGUUCCAGGUUAAGAUAGAUCAGAUUUGAUCAAGUGAGACCUCCUGAACCUUGACAGAUGGAAUCUAUCAACAAGAAGGUUAUAGCCAGUCUUCCUAGGACUUGACUAUUAUCUCGAAUUUUCUCAGUAUCCCCAUAAGAUUGCCAGCACUCCUAAUCAGCAGGAAGUAGUAUGAAAAGCUAAGCUCAAAUUCCCAAAAUAUUGUUUAUAAAUGUUCAUUUUUAUUUAAAGGAGGUUGAUUAUAAAUGCAAUCUCUUUCUAUAUAAUAGGAUAAAAGGGUUGACUAUUGAAUCUACUUUUAAAGAACAAUAACUUGUUUGAAACAUUUUACAUUGCUAUGGAUUUUAGUUUAUUGAUACAAAUUUAAAUUUAAUUUUGUUAUACUGUAUAUAUAUUUCUACUCUUGUUUAAGGUAUUAUGUUUAUGCAACUCAUUUAAGAUUGUAAUGUAUAAUUAAGAAAUAUAGAUUAACAAUUAGUCAUCUUUAUUCUAUGAUAAUCAAACUUUUUUUAGAGAUUUAUUUAUUUAUUAUGUAUACAGUGUUCUGCCUGCAUGUAUACUUGCAGACCAGAAGAGGGCACCAGAUUUCAUUAUAGAUGGUUGUGAGCCACCAUGUGGUUGCUGGGAAUUGAACUCAGGACCUCUGGAAGAAUAGCCAGUGCCCUUAACUGCUGAGCCAUCUCUCCGGUCCCAAUAAUCAAACUUAGAGUCAUGUUAGUUAAGUUUUUUUAGGUAUACAUAGAUAUAUUUCAAUUAGGUAGGUAAUCUUCAAACAUUUCAAAGACCUUCAAAAUAUGGCAUUUAAAAUGUUUUAAAGACUUAGACUUUUCUGGACAGUGAGACAUGUCUGCUCCUGGCAGCACCAACUUACUUCAAAGAGGAAGAUGGCAUCAAAGACACUUCAUGUGGAGUUUGUCUUCUUCUUGGCAAAACUGGCCAUUUGGGCAAGAAACUGCUCGUGCCUGGACUGCUUGACAGUAUGUUGUAUAGACUGGACAUGCAGGACCCAUAGGAAAAUGACCACUGAACUUUGUCUAAACAGGGUGAGAUGGUCCUUCAGUUUCCUGCUUCACAGAAGAUACUGCCAGACAUUCUGCAGGACACAGAGGAAAGUGACUGAUGAACUUUGCCAAUAAGUGAGACAAUCCUUCAAAUUUCCUGCUUCACAAAAAAGUCUGCCAGAGACUCUAGGCCAGUAGGCUGAAGAAGCCAAUGUUGCAGAGGAACUUUGGGUGACUGUCCAGGCUGCCAGAUGUUCCUGUCAUUUCUAGAAUUUUGGAAGAUGCUUGCAAUGUACUUCCUGUUUACUUAGGUAAUAUAUCCUUCUAGGGUCUUUGAUGUAGUUGAAGACUAGAUAGUUAUAAAUUAUUGUUUUCCUUAAUUAUGAUAAAAGAUAAAUUAAAUAUACAACUUUAGACUCACAAAUACAGGAUAGAUGAUAGAAUAUUUUCUUUAAUUUUACCAAAUAAAAAUAGACUAGAUAUUGUAACUGUAA